rnacentral:rRNA from 1 species
UUGACCUCGGAUCAGGUAGGGAUACCCGCUGAACUUAAGCAUAUCAAUAAGCGGAGGAAAAGAAACCAACAGGGAUUGCCCCAGUAACGGCGAGUGAAGCGGCAAGAGCUCAAAUUUGAAAUCUGGCCUCCCCCGGGGGUCCGAGUUGUAAUUUGCAGAGGAUGCUUCGGGCGCGGCCCCCGUCUAAGUUCCUUGGAACAGGACGUCAGAGAGGGUGAGAAUCCCGUCUUGGGCGGGCGGCCCGCGCCCGUGUGAAGCUCCUUCGACGAGUCGAGUUGUUUGGGAAUGCAGCUCUAAGCGGGUGGUAAAUUUCAUCUAAAGCUAAAUACCGGCCGGAGACCGAUAGCGCACAAGUAGAGUGAUCGAAAGGUUAAAAGCACCUUGAAAAGGGAGUUAAACAGCACGUGAAAUUGUUGAAAGGGAAGCGCUUGCGGCCAGACUCGGGGGGCGGGGUUCAGCGGGCGCUCGUCGCCCGUGCACUGCCCGCUCCCCGGGCCAGCAUCAGCUUCGACGGCCGGUCAAAGGCCCCCGGAAUGUGUCGUCUCUAGGGACGUCUUAUAGCCGGGGGUGCUGCUGGCGUAAUGGCCGUAAGCGGCCCGUCUUGAACCACGGACCAAAUGCGGCCCGUCGAGACUGAGGAACGCGCUCCGGCUCGGAUGCUGGCGUAAUGGCCGUAAGCGGCCCGUCUUGAAACACGGACCA